UGAUUUGAAUUUAUAGUCACUCAAAAUGCUUUGACCAACAAAACAGCACAUACAAAUGUGUGAAUAGUAUUUGUGGCAUGAACAAUUCGGGUAACAAGAUUCAAUCUUUAGUCAGUUAUCGACACCGCCGCAAUCUGAGAUACGAGCUUUCACCGGAGUCUUUUUCUAACUUUCUUUCAUUUCAGUUUUGGCGACACAAAUCUCACUGGAUUGCCACCAAAUGAGUGGCCGCAUCACUGCUAAGCCACCGCACUUCAACUCUCAAGGAGCAGUAUUGGAGUUGGAACGAUCGCCUGAGGAUUGAAGACUUCUAGUCCAACAGUUCCCCAUCAAGUUCUUUACUUCUGCUCUUUCCUUGAACAGUGAUAUUGCUAGCAGAAAACUAGAGGGAUGAAAGCAAGAGAGAAAUGUUGAAAGGCCUACCUGAAGUGAUUAUAUAGUAUAUUAUGACAAUGAUAGUGAAAAGUGUGCCUACAAGGAAAAAACCACUUGUCUUGUACGUGUCCAAUGAAUGACAAAGUGAGAACAAAAAAUGGUACUUGUCCGUGCUGGUGACAAAAGAAGCUUCCUAGAAUAUUCCAAGUAAAUUCAAGGGAUCAUUCACUUUUUGGUAGUCGCCAAUAUCAUUUCCAAUUCUCUAUUUGAUUAGUAAACAACACUGUUAUAUUAUGUGAAUGUUUUGGAUUCAUGGUUAGUUUUGCAAAAUUAGGAUGAACUACUGUAAUUUUGUAAAAGCUACUAUUUGGAGUUUUAACAAGGAUAACUUUUACAAAAUCACUGUGAUAUAAUUUCGUAAAACUCAAUUAUAUGGUAUCAAACAAAGACAUGUUAAAAUAAAUUAAUUAUUAAUCAAGAUAUUGAACUCAA